rnacentral:lncRNA from 1 species
CAAUAUAAUCCCAUGAUGAAUGCCUGGCUGCCUUAUAAUUCAUUGACUAAAUCUCCAAAUAAUUUUAUUAGUAAGCAGAAACACAUGCACAUAGUGACCAUCAACAGAAAUUUUAAAAUUCAGCAUCUAUGAAAAUGAUUUACUUCCAAAAAUGAAUAACAGUGAAGUCCAUAAAAUAUAACCUUCAUCCUCUUUCCAAAAAGGAUGUUAUGUAGUAGCUGCAGGUUAUCAUCAGGUUUUAUCUUUGACAGCUUGAAGGCCACUGCAAAAAUUAAAAAUAUCAAAUUAAACGAUACUCAAAUCUUCUCACACAAUCUCAGAGAAUUUUAUGCCCAACAUAAACGAUGAUAAAAGCUUAAGAACAGAUGUUCAUAGACCAAUCAUUUGGACACCUAUCUUGCAUGAGUAGAAGACAGCAAAUAACAUACAUACAUACAUGCAAAUUACCAGAACUAGACAACUAGUUAUCUACAUCAUUAGAAAAACAAGAUAUGCAAAUUGUGCCGUUGUGUUUAACAACAAUAGCAAAAACAUGAUACUGUAUUGGCACUACGGAUACACUUUCUGUAUAGCCUGAUACCAGGAAUAGACGUUAAUCAAGUUGUAUAAAACAUCUACAGAACUCGAGGAGAAACAAUCAGCUUACAUAAAUCAUCUAUCAAACUCAAGGUCAAGCAAUCAGAAAAUGAGAUAGCAGAGUUGAAACAAUGAAAUUAAGAUACAAAGCCAUGCAUAAAGAUUGUAAUAUACAUUUAGCAAAAAAAA